GGGCUUAGAGUUUGAUCAUGGCUCAGGACGAACGCUGGCGGCGAGCCUAACACAUGCAAGUCGAACGGAGAUUUGAGAGCUUGCUUUCAAAUCUUAGUGGCGGACGGGUGAGUAACGCGUGAGUAACCUGCCUCUCAGAGGGGGAUAACAUUCUGAAAAGAAUGCUAAUACCGCAUGACAUUCCUUUCUCGCAUGGGAAGGGAAUCAAAGGAGCAAUCCGCUGAGAGAUGGACUCGCGUCCGAUUAGCCAGUUGGCGGGGUAACGGCCCACCAAAGCGACGAUCGGUAGCCGGACUGAGAGGUUGAACGGCCACAUUGGGACUGAGACACGGCCCAGACUCCUACGGGAGGCAGCAGUGGGGGAUAUUGCACAAUGGGGGAAACCCUGAUGCAGCAACGCCGCGUGAAGGAAGAAGGUCUUCGGAUUGUAAACUUUUGUCCUCAGUGAAGAUAAUGACGGUAGCUGAGGAGGAAGCUCCGGCUAACUACGUGCCAGCAGCCGCGGUAAUACGUAGGGAGCGAGCGUUGUCCGGAUUUACUGGGUGUAAAGGGUGCGUAGGCGGACUGGCAAGUCAGUGGUGAAAACUAUGGGCUUAACCCAUAGACUGCCAUUGAAACUGUUGGUCUUGAGUGAAGUAGAGGUAGGCG
rnacentral:rRNA from 1 species